rnacentral:rRNA from 1 species
GAUGAACGCUGGCGGCGUGCCUAAUACAUGCAAGUCGAGCGAACGGACGAGAAGCUUGCCUUUCUGAUGUUAGCGGCGGACGGGUGAGUAACACGUGGAUAACCUACCUAUAAGACUGGGAUAACUUCGGGAAACCGGAGCUAAUACCGGAUAAUAUUUUGAACCGCAUGGUUCAAAAGUGAAAGACGGUCUUGCUGUCACUUAUAGAUGGAUCCGCGCUGCAUUAGCUAGUUGGUAAGGUAACGGCUUACCAAGGCAACGAUGCAUAGCCGACCUGAGAGGGUGAACGGCCACACUGGAACUGAGACACGGUCCAGACUCCUACGGGAGGCAGCAGUAGGGAAUCUUCCGCAAUGGGCGAAAGCCUGACGGAGCAACGCCGGGGGAGGGAUGAAGGUCUUCGGAUCGUAAAACUCUGUUAUUAGGGAAGAACAUAUGUGUAAGUAACUGUGCACAUCUUGACGGUACCUAAACAGAAAGCCACGGCUAACUACGUG